rnacentral:lncRNA from 1 species
AGGAGUUCUCCUCCCUCAAUCCUUUCCAUCACUAUUCUCCAGCCUGAUGUUGGGGCUCUCUGAUUACGUGGAGACUAAAGGCCUAGAAAAAGUAGAUUUUUUUUCCCUUCUACUGAUAUAGUAGGAACUCUGCUUUCUGCUGUGCUCUGAUCUGAUUUGACUUUAUCAAGUAAGGUAUGAGAUUAUCAUCAGGUCUCCAGCAGCAAAGAGCAUUGGUGCUAUGGAGGGGCUGUGGAAUGAUAGAAUUUCCAAUACAUUUCUGGAGUCUUUCCAGGGGAGACUUUUAAAAAGUAGAGCAUGUGCUUUCUGGAAAGUAAUAGGAUAAAGUGUUUGCGGCAGUUUCUCAAAUGCAAAGGAGCUAUGUGCAUCACAGAGAGGUUUGCAUCAAGUGGUUUGACAAAGUCAAAUUCA